rnacentral:rRNA from 1 species
GGGUGGAUUAGUGGCGAACGGGUGAGUAACACGUGAGUAACCUGCCCUUAACUCUGGGAUAAGCCUGGGAAACUGGGUCUAAUACCGGAUAGGAGCGUCCACCGCAUGGUGGGUGUUGGAAAGAUUUAUCGGUUUUGGAUGGACUCGCGGCCUAUCAGCUUGUUGGUGAGGUAAUGGCUCACCAAGGCGACGACGGGUAGCCGGCCUGAGAGGGUGACCGGCCACACUGGGACUGAGACACGGCCCAGACUCCUACGGGAGGCAGCAGUGGGGAAUAUUGCACAAUGGGCGCAAGCCUGAUGCAGCGACGCCGCGUGAGGGAUGACGGCCUUCGGGUUGUAAACCUCUUUCAGUAGGGAAGAAGCGAAAGUGACGGUACCUGCAGAAGAAGCACCGGCUAACUACGUGCCAGCAGCCGCGGUAAUACGUAGGGUGCGAGCGUUAUCCGGAAUUAUUGGGCGUAAAGAGCUCGUAGGCGGUUUGUCGCGUCUGUCGUGAAAGUCCGGGGCUUAACCCCGGAUCUGCGGUGGGUACGGGCAGACUA